GAGUUUUCAGCAGAGGCCGAUUUUUUCCCGCCUAAAGUUAUUCCUUCGAUAAACACAAUCGCGGUGCCAUGUAUUAAGCGGAAAUGCUGACUGGUGAACUGCUGACUGUUAGCGCGAGGUGGAGAGUUGUGGAGCCUUCAAGCGUUGCAUCAUUGAAGUCGCAUGAGUAUCACAAAUAUCACAGGCGAAGGGUCAUAAGGUAAUACAAGAGGGUUUUCUUUUGCCAUAAGGUUUCUCCUGUAGCCUUUCUUGACUAAACUGGUUGCACUUCGUGAGUCUUUCCCGCCAUUUCUAUAUUUUUACUGUUGUGACUCUGUCACACUGUUUUGUCCUACGACAAAAACUGACUUCCCACGUUGUCUCCUGUUUUUCCGGCUUAGUUUUCUUGUGUUUGAAACUGUACUUCGUGUUUUCACCAUAAGCUUAAGUGAUAUUUUGGAUAAUUCUUCACUUACAAACAAUAAUUUAUUCAGCUCCGAAAUCAGUCGCCUGUAAAUUCUGCGAAGGAUUUGCAUAUUUUUCUGAGCCCUGAUUGCGAUGCGCUGUUGUUGUGUCAGUCUCACGGUAGGCCAGUCACAGUUGGGUUGAUGACAAAGAGUUAGUGAUUGCGGUCGGAUUGCGUUGUUGUGUAAUACUGCUUGGAGUUUUUCUACCAGUGGGUUCUAAGUGCAUUGUUGACUGAGCGCGUUGGUUCAGUUUGCGGGCGACUCGAGUCCAACUUGUUUUUGCCACCCUGCAUUUUCAUUGUAGUCUUUUAACUAUUUUAUUCUACUUAAUUUCACCUUGAUUAUUGAUUAUUAAUAAUUAAUUGAUCUAGUUAAAUAAAAGAAAGGUAAACUAAUCAAAUAAUUAUAUACAAUCAAACAAUUAUUUAACCGGAAUAACCGGAAAAUAGCCUACAAUACUAUUUCUGUAAUUCUUUUU